rnacentral:rRNA from 1 species
GAUGAACGCUGGCGGCGUGCCUAAUACAUGCAAGUCGAACGAAACUUCUUUAUCACCGAGUGCUUGCACUCACCGAUAAAGAGUUGAGUGGCGAACGGGUGAGUAACACGUGGGCAACCUGCCCAAAAGAGGGGGAUAACACUUGGAAACAGGUGCUAAUACCGCAUAACCAUAGUUACCGCAUGGUAACUAUGUAAAAGGUGGCUAUACUACCGCUUUUGGAUGGGCCCGCGGCGCAUUAGCUAGUUGGUAGGGUAAAGGCUUACCAAGGCAAUGAUGCGUAGCCGAAUUGAGAGGUUGAUCGGCCACAUUGGGACUGAGACACGGCCCAAACUCCUACGGGAGGCAGCAGUAGGGAAUCUUCCACAAUGGGCGAAAGCCUGAUGGAGCAACGCCGCGUGGGUGAAGAAGGUCUUCGGAUCGUAAAACCCUGUUGUUAGAGAAGAAAGUGCGUGAGAGUAGCUGUUCACGUUUCGACGGUAUCUAACCAGAAAGCCACGGCUAACUACGUG